rnacentral:rRNA from 1 species
AACGCGAAGAACCUUACCUAGACUUGACAUCUCCUGCAUUACUCUUAAUCGAGGAAGUCCCUUCGGGGACGUGAAAACAGGUGGUGCAUGGCUGUUGUCAGCUCGCGUCGUGAGAUGUUGGGUUAAGUCCCGCAACGAGCGCAACCCCUAUCCUAUGUUACCAGCACGUUAAGGUGGGGACUCAUAGGAGACUGCCAAGGACAACUUGGAGGAAGGCGGGGAUGACGUCAAGUCAUCAUGCCCCUUAUGUCUUGGGCUACACACGUACUACAAUGGUCGGCAACAGAGGGAAGCGAAGCCGCGAGGCAGAGCAAACCCCAGAAACCCGAUCUCAGUUCGGAUCGCAGGCUGCAACCCGCCUGCGUGAAGUCGGAAUCGCUAGUAAUCGCAGGUCAGCAUACUGCGGUGAAUACGUUCCCGGGUCUUGUACACACCG